rnacentral:rRNA from 1 species
UUGUUCCCUGAGGUUAGCGGCGGACGGGUGAGUAACACGUGGGUAACCUGCCUGUAAGACUGGGAUAACUCCGGGAAACCGGGGCUAAUACCGGAUGGUUGUUUGAACCGCAUGGUUCAGACAUAAAAGGUGGCUUCGGCUACCACUUACAGAUGGACCCGCGGCGCAUUAGCUAGUUGGUGAGGUAACGGCUCACCAAGGCGACGAUGCGUAGCCGACCUGAGAGGGUGAUCGGCCACACUGGGACUGAGACACGGCCCAGACUCCUACGGGAGGCAGCAGUAGGGAAUCUUCCGCAAUGGACGAAAGUCUGACGGAGCAACGCCGCGUGAGUGAUGAAGGUUUUCGGAUCGUAAAGCUCUGUUGUUAGGGAAGAACAAGUGCCGUUCAAAUAGGGCGGCACCUUGACGGUACCUAACCAGAAAGCCACGGCUAACUACGUGCCAGCAGCCGCGGUAAUACGUAGGUGGCAAGCGUUGUCCGGAAUUAUUGGGCGUAAAGGGCUCGCAGGCGGUUUCUUAAGUCUGAUGUGAAAGCCCCCGGCUCAACCGGGGAGGGUCAUUGGAAACUGGGGAACUUGAGUGCAGAAGAGGAGAGUGGAAUUCCACGUGUAGCGGUGAAAUGCGUAGAGAUGUGGAGGAACACCAGUGGCGAAGGCGACUCUCUGGUCUGUAACUGACGCUGAGGAGCGAAAGCGUGGGGGAGCGAACAGGAUUAGAUACCCUGGGUAGUCCACGCCGUAAACGAUGAGUGCUAAGUGUUAGGGGGUUUCCGCCCCUUAGUGCUGCAGCUAACGCAUUAAGCACUCCGCCUGGGGAGUACGGUCGCAAGACUGAAACUCAAAGGAAUUGACGGGGGCCCGCACAAC